rnacentral:rRNA from 1 species
AUUGAACGCUGGCGGCAGGCCUAACACAUGCAAGUCGAACGAGUGGCGGACGGGUGAGUCAUGUCUGGGAAACUGCCUGAUGGAGGGGGAUAACUACUGGAAACGGUAGCUAAUACCGCAUACCAUCAGAUGUGCCCCGGUGGGAUUAGUUAGUUGGUGGGGUAACGGCUCACCAAGGCGACGAUCCCUAGCUGGUCUGAGAGGAUGACCAGCCACACGGGAACUGAGACACGGGCCAGACUCCUACGGGAGGCAGCAGUGGUGAAUAGUGCACAAUGGGCGCAAGCCUGAGGCAGCCAGGCCGCGGGUAUGAAGAAGGCCUUCUGGUUUUAAAGUACGUUCAGCGGGGAGGCGUUACCCGCAGAAGAAGCACCGGCUAACGCCGUGCCAGCCGCCGCGGUAAUUC